GGCCUAGUAAAACUGGAAGAUCGCCUCCUUGGCAUGGAGGAGGGCGCGAGUUCAAAUCUCGCCCGGUCCACCA
rnacentral:tRNA from 1 species